CGCGAUUAGCUGUAGCCGCGGAUACCCUUCCUUCGUCCCCUGCCAGCUCGAUCGCUUUGAGCUUCAGGAAUAUUUCGAGUUGCCAAACUUUUUGGCAGCUGCCCUUGUCCAGAAAAGUUGCUGCAGUUUCCUUGUACAAGUAGCACCAAUAUGGGCAUAGACAAAAACUGCUGCCACAGGAAAUGUUUCUGGAACUGGCAAAUGUCUUAAGAAGAGGCUUUCUAUCACUUCUGAACGUGCGUCUUUAGUCUCUUCGAAGACCCAUCUGUGACUGGACCUGCAGUCUGCUGGUUCCCUCCGGCACUAAGCACAGCCAAAUGAAUCCAUACACUCUCUGAAGAGAAGCUUCAGCAACCCCGCUAAUCUGAAUGGUUACAGGAGCUCUCUCACACAGCACUAGGGGAGGUAAUCAGAAGCAGUAAGUGGCAAAAACUGACAAGAUUUUGCUACGGCUUAUUAUGCAUUUGCUGCUACAGCUUCGAACCAAUCCCCAUUCCACCCAAAAUAAGCCAUACAUGCCAUGGAUAGCCUCAUUUGAUAUGUUCAGCCAGCAAGAGAGUCUCUGUAAAACUGCCUGUCCCAUGUCCAACUUGUCAUGUCCUCCUGCCAUUAAUUAACAACGCAUCUGUCCUUUGGGUUCCGCUUAACUCUACCCAGUGCUUUCCAUCAUAAUUGUCACUGUUUACCUCUGCUGCUGAAUGAUGAUGAUAACAAUAAUGUAUUGUGACAUAAAGUUAAUCUUGCUUGCUGCUCCUUUGCUUGUUAUUGUUGAGAAUUGCAAUAAAAAGGAAGCUUCAGUAGGCCAACUGUGCAAAUAUCUCGGCUAACUACUUCACAAGAAGGCAGGCUACCUCAACACCAAUAAAAUUUUGACAUUA